UACGUAGGUGGCAAGCGUUAUCCGGAAUUAUUGGGCGUAAAGAGCGCGCAGGUGGUUGAUUAAGUCUGAUGUGAAAGCCCACGGCUUAACCGUGGAGGGUCAUUGGAAACUGGUCGACUUGAGUGCAGAAGAGGGAAGUGGAAUUCCAUGUGUAGCGGUGAAAUGCGUAGAUAUCGGGAGGAACACCGGUGGCGAAGGCGGCUUUCUGGCCAGUUACUGACGCUCAUGCGCGAGAGCUGGGUUAGCGAACCGGAUUAGAUACCCCCGUAGU
rnacentral:rRNA from 1 species